rnacentral:rRNA from 1 species
GACGAACGCUGGCGGCGUGCCUAAUACAUGCAAGUAGAACGCACAGUUUAUACCGUAGCUUGCUACACCAUAGACUGUGAGUUGCGAACGGGUGAGUAACGCGUAGGUAACCUGCCUGGUAGCGGGGGAUAACUAUUGGAAACGAUAGCUAAUACCGCAUAAUAUUAAUUAUUGCAUGAUAAUUAAUUGAAAGGUGCAAUUGCACCACUACCAGAUGGACCUGCGUUGUAUUAGCUAGUAGGUGAGGUAACGGCUCACCUAGGCGACGAUACAUAGCCGACCUGAGAGGGUGGUCGGCCACACUGGGACUGAGACACGGCCCAGACUCCUACGGGAGGCAGCAGUAGGGAAUCUUCGGCAAUGGACGACAGUCUGACCAAGCAACGCCGCGUGAGUGAAGAAGAUUUUCGGAUCGUAAAGCUCUGUUGUAAGAGAAGAACGGGUGUGAGAGUGGAAAGUUCACACUGUGACGGUAUCUUACCAGAAAGGGACGGCUAACUACGUG